rnacentral:rRNA from 1 species
CAUUAAAGAGUUCUAUAACUCCCAAACCCAUGUGAACAUACCUAACGUUGCCUCGGCAGGUCGCACCUACCUUGUAGCACCCUACCCUGUAGGGCCUACCCGGGAGGUGCGGGUAAGCCUGCCGGCGGCCCACCAAACUCUGUUUGAUAUUGAAUUCUGAACCUAUAACUAAAUAAGUUAAAACUUUCAACAACGGAUCUCUUGGUUCUGGCAUCGAUGAAGAACGCAGCGAAAUGCGAUAAGUAAUGUGAAUUGCAGAAUUCAGUGAAUCAUCGAAUCUUUGAACGCAUAUUGCGCCCAUUAGUAUUCUAGUGGGCAGGACCGUUCGAGCGUCAUUUCAACCCUUAAGCCUUCGUUGCUUAGUGUUGGGAGCCUACGGCAACGUAGCUCCUCAAAGUUAGUGGCGGAGUUGGUUCACACUCUAGACGUAGUAAUUUUUUAUCUCGCCUAUUAGUUGGACUAAUCCCCUGCCGUAAAACCCCCAAUUUAUCAAGGUUGACCUCGAAUCGGUUCAGACAAACUCGCUAAAUUGAAGCAUCUUAGUCAGCGAAGGAAAAGAAACCAACAGGGAUUGCCCUAGUAACGGCGAGUGAAGCGGCAACAGCUCAAAUUUGAA